CUAUCCUACGGGGGGCAGCAGUAGGGAAUCUUCGGCAAUGGGCGAAAGCCUGACCGAGCAACGCCGCGUGAAUGAAGAAGGCCUUCGGGUUGUAAACUGCUUUAGACAGGGAAGAAAAAAGACAGUACCUGUAGAAUAAGCUCCGGCUAACUACGUGCCAGCAGCCGCGGUAAUACGUAGGGAGCAAGCGUUAUCCGGAUUUAUUGGGUGUAAAGGGUGCGUAGACGGGAAAACAAGUUAGUUGUGAAAUCCCUCGGCUUAACUGAGGAACUGCAACUAAAACUAUUUUUCUUGAGUGCUGGAGG
rnacentral:rRNA from 1 species